AUGGAAAACAACCAGUAACAACUGUGAAGGUUUUCCCCAAAACUUUACGAGGUUUAGUUAUACUUAUAACUGCCCUAAGCCCUCUGGUACAGGACCAUGCAAAAGUAUCAAACCUGAUGGAGGAAAGUGUGAACUUACUGGACUGAGUCCUUACACUGAUUACACAUGUGAAAUCCAGCCCACCUACAACAACAGGAAAGUUUCCAAACCAGAGACAUUUACCUGGAAAACUGAGCCUGGAACACCAGGAGCUGUCACAGAACUAAAAGUGACUAAUCCAGAGAAUAAUGUGAUUAAAAUAUCCUGUACUCAUAACACCAAAAAAUUUUAUGGACCU